rnacentral:rRNA from 1 species
GACGAACCGUCCAAACGUUGUUCGGAAUCACUGGGCUUAAAGGGCGCGUAGGCGGACUGCCAAGUCCGGGGUGAAAUCUUUCGGCUUAACCGGAAAAGGGCCUUGGAAACUGGCGGUCUCGAGGGGGGUAGGGGCGUGCGGAACUGUGGGUGGAGCGGUGAAAUGCGUUGAUAUCCACAGGAACUCCGGUGGCGAAGGCGGCACGCUGGACCUCUUCUGACGCUGAGGCGCGAAAGCCAGGGGAGCAAACGGG